GACCAAGGAGUCUAACAUGUGCGCGAGUCGUCGGGUCUUGAAUAGGCCCGCAGGCGCAAUGAAAGUGAAGGGCGACCCCGUUGUCGUCUGCGUUGGGAUCCUCAGACYGCSGYGUCUGGGGCGCACCAACGGCCCGUCCCGUCCGCAGCGUCGGUGGGACGGAGCGAGAGCGUACACGUUGGGACCCGAAAGAUGGUGAACUAUGCCUGGGCAGGACGAGGCCAGAGGAAACUCUGGUGGAGGUCCGCAGCGAUUCUGACGUGCAAAUCGAUCGUCAGACCUGGGUAUAGGGGCGAAAGACUAAUCGAACCGUCUAGUAGCUGGUUCCCUCCGAAGUUUCCCUCAGGAUAGCUGGCGCUCGAGGGAGUCAGUCUCAUCCGGUAAAGCGAAUGAUUAGAGGCCUUGGGGCCGAAACGACCUCAACCUAUUCUCAAACUUUCAAUGGGUGAGAAGUCCGGUUUACAUGACUGAAGCCCGGACAAUUCUCAGGAUGCGAGUGCCCAGUGGGCCACUUUU
rnacentral:rRNA from 1 species